AUGCAGGGGCUGCCAGCAGCUGCAGACCCGUCCUCUCUCCUCCCCAAAAAACUCCAAACCCCAAACCGUGUCAUUUUCACGGCAUCUUUUAUAUGGAAGAUUAGAAUUGCCUCUUCUUGUUGCUAUGGAAACGCUCGAGUGAAAGGAAACGACCUCAUUAUGAUUUAUGAUGAAAUCCCUUUGGGGUGGGCUUGCUGCCCCAGCAUGCUUGCUGGGGGGGGAACAAGGCUGGGGGAUGCCUGGCCUUGGUGUGGGGGUUCUGGAACCUUUCAUCUUUUGUGCCUUCCUCAGCAGUUUGUCUGUCUCUUGGUCUUUUCCCUUUGGCUCAGCAGUACAUCUUACUGUGAGGAAAAGAAGAGAUGAGAUACUGGAUUGUGAGGAAUUUGAGAUAACCUGGGCUGUUACUAGUACAGAGCACAUGCUAACGUAUCCCUAGGAGGCUGUAAAGGUUGGUAAAAAAUGAGCAGCUGCCUCUAGACCCUGCUAUAAUUACUGGUUACAGCAGCUGCUCCAUCCUGCUGCUCCUGACGAGCUGCUGGCCAACGUGGCAUGUAUACUGGCCUCCAGGUCCAGCAUGAGAGCUCCUCCAUCCCUGUUGUAUCCAGACUGCAGGGCAGGGAGGGGGAGGAGUUAGAACAGGUAGGAGGUGCUCUGCUGAGCCUGGGCUGGACUUGGAGUCUCUAAGGGUCUGUGCCAAGUAGUGGUCACCUCUGUAGCUCUGGAAAACCUGUACCCCUUGGUCAACAGGUUGCUUUUGAGACUUGUGAGAAGAAAGCUGGCAAUUUACCCUGUCCACUGGGUGAGCUGGAUGCCAGAAAGCCCAUGCAGUCUGAAGGAUAGUUCAGAUCUUGGAAAGCAUUGGAUCCUUGGCCAGACAGCUUUUCGUUGUUGCUCCAAUUGACAGCCUCAUUUUGACAAAGCUCACUGGGAAAGAACUGCUAAAUGGAAAAGCCCUUCUGGCUGUCACUGCACAUCCCUCUUCCCUUUGAUAAAUACUAGAGUAUAUUUUUAACUGAAGACCAGUUUUUUCAUUGGAAAAAUCUGGAAGAUAUUUCCACCAAGCUGCCAUUUUUUUUAGCAUGCAUCAAGGAAUGUAGGGCUGUGGGCUGGCCCAGCACUGUACUUGGACAAUGAAAGAUUUCAGCAAGCAAGGAGAGGAGCAUGCAUGUCCUAUGCACUCAGUGGGAGUUUGCCACAGGAGCAUGUGUGCUGCAAUGCUUUGCCAGAGCUGGCGUUUUAAGU
rnacentral:lncRNA from 1 species